ACUGUCCACACACUAAACGUCAACAAGAAAAGAACACUUAAUACUGGGAUUUUAAUUUGUAACGGAUACAUUUUAAAACAAGAAGAGGCGUUUACACAAUUGACCGCCAACUCUCUUCAGCUUGCUCAUUCAUCGUUUAGUCUCUAUUCUGUUCGUAAUGGAGAAAGGAGCCAGUGACUUUGAUUGGCAAGAAAAGCACCCUGACACCAUACAAAGCCAACCAGAGAAAAAACCCAACAACACAGGCUCCUCAGACAAACGCCGCUCAGACUCAGGAGGGAACCACUGUAAGAAGUGUUGUAUUAGUACCAAGAACUGUCUCAUGAGUCCUGAGUGUGGCCGGGCACUUUACAUCUCCCAGGUUAUUUCGAUGUGUGGCAUGUGCAUCGGCAUGUGGAGAUAGUCCAACAUUGUGAAAAAACAUAUCUCAAGGAGUAGCAUUACCUAAACACCCCUAAAGAGAUGUUCAAGCAACAGCAGGAGUGGAGGAUGAUCUUUGGGGAGAAUGUAUUGUUUUAAACUUUAGAUUGUUUCGAAUGGUUGUUUUUCAAUUUGGUAUGCUUAUGUGUUACAGUAUUUAUUGUAUUAAAUGUGCCUUUUUCAUGCAAUAUUUGGAAACUGUCAAAUAAUUCUGCUACCUGUUUAGUAGCCUGCCUUUUGUUUGUCCAUGCAAAUGUGCCUAUGCAAGGUUUCAGUUAAAUAGUCAGUAGACUACAGUGGACUACCUCCACUUAAUAUUGCCACCCUUGUUAAAUAUAAGCUAAUUGGGCUGUGAAAAAAAUUAAUAUUUGCUGUUUAUCUUCUUGGUCUUUCAUUGAUAUUAUUAACAAAUUAAUAUCCUAAUUGGAAGUAAAAUUAUUGAAGAAAAUGAAUAUUUAUUAAAUGAAUAUUUUUUCCAAAACAUGUGUGACAGUUAUUUACAACCCUAGAAUUAAUAAUAUUUAAUUGAAGUAUUUUCUCAUUUAUGUUCUAUGUUUUUAGCUCACCUGAGUUAAAUGGUCAGCCAUGACUUCCUGUUCUACUGCGGUAUAAAUAUGAGGUGACACAAAGUCCAAAUUCCAUCACUAUGGGAAAGACCCAGGAAUAAAGUAAUGAUGUGUGAAAAAAGGUUGUUAAGCUGCACAAAUCAAUGGUUGGAUAAGACCAAAAUCUAGCAUUUGGGAAGCAAACACCAGAGGUGGGUUUGGCAUGGACAGAAAGAUAGCCGUACAUAAAAGUACCUCAUACCCAUUGUGAAGUAUGGUGGUGGAUCUUUCACAUUGGUGCGCUGUUUUUCUUCUAAAGGCCCGUGACAAAUUGUUAGGAUACAUGGUGUCAUGGACUCCAGGUACCAGCAGAUAUUAAAUCAAAGCUUAAACUGGGCCAUGAUGGGAUCUUCCAGCAGGACAAUGAUCCAAAGUACACCUCAAAAUCAAAACAAACAUGGUUUACUUACCAAAUAAUCAAUGUUUUGCCAUGGCCAUCCCAGUCCCCUGACUUAAACCUUUAAUUAAAUGUUAGAUUUUUGUUAAUAUUUUGAAUGAAAUAUCAACAGGUUAAACAAAUGUUUUUCACAGACCAUUUUGCCUAUAUUUGCCAAGGGUGCCAAUAGUAGUGAAGGGCAGAGUGUAUGUAUUGACAGAAAUGCACAGUACAUUGUCUUUCCAUAGAAAUUACAUUUAGAAUUACAAUAGGCUAUAGUUUCAGCUCUGACAUAGACAGGAAAGAAAUAGUGAUUUUAUGUAUUUGUUGACCAGCAAAGUUAUGUGAGGUCUUUUUUGUUUUAUAAGGCAUCUGUUAUGUUAUUACAGUUUUCGCUUUGGCUCAUUUUUCGAAACAGUCUUAACAUUCUCUGACCUGUAAGUACAAUCGUCACAACUGUUUCAUGGGACAUCACAACUCUAUGGCAUGUCUGCAAAAUGUUGUAACUCACCCAAAACCUUUAAUUCAUGCUUCAAAACCUAGUUAUUGUGCAGAAAAUUGUCCAGUGCCACCAAAAUGACCAAAAAGUUUUCUCAUCAUGUGAGCCGUACUGGUCAAAAUGUUUAGAUGUUUUUUUACCAUGGCAGUCAACCCUGGAAAUGUUUGUUAUAUUUACAUUUUUGUUUAGUUCUACUUUUUUGUCUAGCUGAAUGCUGGUGUGUAUCACACUGAGCUUUUUCGAUACCACUUUCAGCAGUGGUAAAGGUUUACUGGGAAAUGUGAAUUCUACAUUUCUGUAGUAAACCGAAAAAUUAUAUGGACAUUUGUAUGUAUACAGUAAAUUUAGCGAUGUGUUACAUGUAAAUAGAAAAUAGUGAGCUGAAAAUUCGCCACUAAAUGACAUCCAUGAAAACACAAAAUCUCCAAAAAAAAAAAAUCCUGUGGUAGUUCUGUAAAAAAUUAUGAAUUUCACCUCCUCACGGUACAGAACACUACAUGUUCCCAUCUUGUUGGUGGACAUCCUGUCGAUCAUGUUGGUCUCCUGGCAAUUCUUAUUUCUUUAUUUAUGUCACCUGGCAGGUAAUUUGCAAAUAUAGCAGAUAUCACAGACAUACCAUGUCAUAGAUAUUUAUGGAAUAUAAAUGUAUGUCUGUCAGAUUUUGAUAAUUGAAUGGAUAAUUUUGCAUGUGAUGCUUCAAACAAUGAAAGUAAUUUUAGAAGUUGUGAAGAGUUUGACAAUUUCACUCAGAAUCAACUAAUCAGUUUUGAUCAGCAAUCCAUGUGGUUGUAGGUAUAGUGUCUAUUGCACAAUACCUACACGUGCAAUGUAAAAAUUCUAAUGAAAAAUUCUAAUCUGUUGUGAGCAAGAAACAAAUUGUUCAGAGAUUUGAAGUUAUUGUUUUGAAAAAAAAUAUUCUCAUUCAAGAAAUGAACCAAAACGAUUGAGAAAAACUGUAUUACAUUAUAUCUAUUAUAUAUAUAUAUAUCUUAUAUUGACGAUAUACAAAAGUUUUAAUUUUCUUAGCAAAAUCAAAUAUGCAUAUACUGUAGGUUAUGGGGUUUCAGUGAAAUUCUGUAAGCUUGUAUAUUGCUCUGAGAAGCAUGGCUCUGGACAGGUGUCUUUUCUUCCUGAAGAGGAUAUGCAAAUUGGCUGGUAUUUUUUUCAUGAACUAUAUUUGUUCAUUUUAAUCCUGACGAAUGGGAUAAUAUUGCUUGGAUGUGCUGCUAAGUGAGCUCUUUCAUAUUGGACCUAUCCUAACAUUGUUUGAACCAGUCUUGCAGUACUUCUUUAAAGAAAUCACAUUAUACAAAGCAGUAGGGACGGGGGGAGUGAGAUAAUAAAUCAGUCCGGCACAGACUUCUAAUCUUUUCUCAAAGGACAAUCAUUUAACACAUUCUCCAUAUGACAGAGAGAGAAAGACAUAAACAACAUAUUUAUUUUUUUAUGUAUGUAUGUUAAAUUGUGACACAUUCCUUAUCACAAAUUUCCCUUUGGAAUCUUAACCACUUACAAUAAAUGUAU